UACGUAGGGUGCAAGCGUUGUCCGGAAUUAUUGGGCGUAAAGAGCUUGUAGGCGGUUUGUCGCGUCUGCUGUGAAAUUUCGGGGCUCAACCCCGAACUUGCAGUGGGUACGGGCAGGCUAGAGUUCGGUAGGGGGAGACUGGAAUUCCUGGUGUAGCGGUGAAAUGCGCAGAUAUCAGGAGGAACACCGAUGACGAAGGCAGGUCUCUGGGCCGAUACUGACGCUGAGGAGCGAAAGCGUGGGGAGCGAACAGG
rnacentral:rRNA from 1 species